CGCGGGCGGAAAAAUGAAAGCUCGGAGCGGGUCGCGGCCGCUUCGUGCGGGCGCCGCGGGCCGAGCGGGGGCGAGUGAGACCCGCGGGCUCGGCGGGACCCCGGCCGCACAGGCUUCCCGGAGCCGCGGGGCCGCUCCCCCGCUCGUGCAUGCACUCCCGCGCACGCCCGCAAGCCUCGGUGCACGUGCACACCUCGCAAAAUGCGAAGACCCCCCAGUGCACACUCGCGCCCCUGCGUGCGUUCCCCCGCACGCGCACAGCUCGCUCAGGCACGCGCGUGCCCAAGGGCGCGCCCCACUCGCGCACGGACAGUAGGCCCCCCAGGAGCGGAUUCGCACCCACUCCCACCCGCCUUCCGAUCUGAACCCGCAUGCUGCCCAGGGGCCCCCCCCAACACACACUGGCACAGGCUUAAAAUCCGCCCCUUUGGCCCCGCAGCUCCGGUGUCCCCACUUUCCAAGAACAGGUUCCGAUUCCUCAUAGAUGGUAGAGGCCCUGGCAGGAAGUUUAUACGGCUCAACGUAAACACGUUCUGGGGGAUUCUUUAAUAAUAAUAAUAGAGAAUUCCGCGUGCGCGGGGGGAGUUGGCCUAAUGCCCCUGUGGGCUCGGCCUGCCGCCGCCGCGGGGCCUCUGACACUGCGCGCCAGGCCAGGUUCCGGAAAGCAGCCUGCGCGGGUGGGAGCGCAGGCCCCGGAGGCCCUCGCGCCGGGCGGUCGGAGCCGGGAGCUCGCGCGCUCGCCUCGCCUCGCCUCGCCUCCCCUCGCAGGACCGGGGCGCCGGCGCGGGACCGCACCGAGCGGAGCGCAAGGCGGCCAGAGGCACCCAGGCUUGCUCAAGCGGUGGAGGAAAUGGCUGAAGAUCCAGAAGGAUCAGUCAACUAACACAACUUUUCCCCGUUGGGAUCUCAUUUUGGUCUCUGAUGUCAGCCUCACAUGCAUGCCUACGGCUCACCUGGAGGGAGCCGGGCGCCAAGAGAGAGCCCUGCUCUUGGUUUGGGAGGCAGGACAGCAGUGUGGUCGGCCCAUCCUCUGUGCCAGGCUCCGUGCCGAGUGUUCUGUUACCUGGUGA
rnacentral:lncRNA from 12 species